rnacentral:rRNA from 1 species
GUGGAUUAGAUACCCUGGUAGUCCACGCUGUAAACGAUGAUUACUCGUUUUCGGCGAUACACAGUCGGAGACUAAGCGAAAGUGAUAAGUAAUCCACCUGGGGAGUACGAUCGCAAGGUUGAAACUCAAAGGAAUUGACGGGGGCCCGCACAAGCGGUGGAGCAUGUGGUUUAAUUCGAUGAUACGCGAGGAACCUUACCAGGGCUUGAAAGUUAGUGAAGAAUGUGGAAACAUGUUCGUCAGCAAUGACACGAAACUAGGUGCUGCACGGUUGUCGACAGCU